UUUUAUGACUAUACCAUUCUGAAUAUGUCCAGUCUUGUCUGAUCUUAGAAGCUAAGCAGGGUUGGGUCUGGUUGGAGAAA
rnacentral:rRNA from 1 species